AUGAACGCUAGCGACAGGCUUAACACAUGCAAGUCGAGGGGCAGCAUGGUCAGUAGCAAUACCGACUGAUGGCGACCGGCGCACGGGUGAGUAACGCGUAUGCAACCUGCCCUGUACAGGGGGAUAGCCCAUGGAAACGUGGAUUAAUAUCCCAUAGUAAUCAUGAUAGGCAUCUAUUUUGAUUUAAAUCUUCGGAGGUACAGGAUGGGCAUGCGUCCUAUUAGAUAGUUGGCGGGGUAACGGCCCACCAAGUCUUUGAUAGGUAGGGGUUCUGAGAGGAAGGUCCCCCACACUGGUACUGAGACACGGACCAGACUCCUACGGGAGGCAGCAGUGAGGAAUAUUGGUCAAUGGGCGAUAGCCUGAACCAGCCAAGUCGCGUGAGGGAAGACUGCCCUAUGGGUUGUAAACCUCUUUUGUAAGUGGAGAAUAAGCGUUACGUGUAGCGCGAUGACUGUAACUUACGAAUAAGCAUCGGCUAACUCCGUGCCAGCAGCCGCGGUAAUACGGAGGAUGCGAGCGUUAUCCGGAUUUAUUGGGUUUAAAGGGUGCGUAGGCGGCACUAUAAGUUAGUGGUAAAAUUUCCGGGCUUCACCCGGAUUCGCCAUUAAUACUGUAGAGCUCGAGUACAGACGAGGUAGGCGGAAUAAGUUAAGUAGCGGUGAAAUGCAUAGAUAUAACUUAGAACUCCGAUAGCGAAGGCAGCUUACCAGACUGUAACUGACGCUGAUGCACGAGAGCGUGGGUAUCGAACAGGAUUAGAUACCCUGGUAGUCCACGCCGUAAACGAUGCUCACCGGCCCUUAGCGAUAUAGAGUUAGGGGUUAAUCGAAAGAAUUAAGUGAGCCACCUGGGGAGUACGUCGGCAACGAUGAAACUCAAAGGAAUUGACGGGGGCCCGCACAAGCGGAGGAACAUGUGGUUUAAUUCGAUGAUACGCGAGGAACCUUACCCGGGCUUAAAUUGCAGAUGAAUUACGGUGAAAGCCGUAAGCCGCAAGGCAUCUGUGAAGGUGCUGCAUGGUUGUCGUCAGCUCGUGCCGUGAGGUGUCGGCUUAAGUGCCAUAACGAGCGCAACCCUUGUUGUCAGUUACUAACAGGUUCCGCUGAGGACUCUGACAAGACUGCCAUCGUAAGAUGUGAGGAAGGUGGGGAUGACGUCAAAUCAGCACGGCCCUUACACCCAGGGCGACACACGUGUUACAAUGGCCGGUACAGAGGGUCGCUACCUGGUGACAGGAUGCUAAUCUCGAAAUCCGGUCGUAGUUCGGAUUGGAGUCUGUAACCCGACUCCAUGAAGUUGGAUUCGCUAGUAAUCGCGCAUCAGCCAUGGCGCGGUGAAUACGUUCCCGGGCCUUGUACACACCGCCCGUCAAGCCAUGGAAGCCGGGAGUACCUGAAGUCCGUAACCGCAAGGAUCGGCCUAAGGUAAUACUGGUAACUGGGGCU
rnacentral:rRNA from 1 species